UCCAUAGGGUUAGAUAGAAUAGGCAGAGGCGGGGCUUUGAUAGAGUUACUGGCGGGUCUCUAAUUCGCUUGGUGCAGGUCGGGAACUGCUUCGGUUUAUAGAAUACCAGAGCCAGGUGGCGCGACGCCGCUGGCUGGCUGCGAUUUCCAGCGGAGCGGGUCCCGCCUUGCAUCAACUGAAUCGGAGACCGCGGUAAAAAAAAAGAGAGAAGGAAACCAGGCCGCGUCAGAGAUCUCGCCGUUUUGCUCUGCUCGUUCAUCAGAUCUCACCUCAGGUAUUCCCUGCCAGCCCAUGGGUCUUCACCUUUUUGCAGUGUGUGUAUGGAGAUAGAUCAGAUAGUAGCCUUUUGUGGAAAUCUGAGAAAAGCAGAGAAUCUUUCAAAACAAAGACUGUUGAGUGAUGAUAAGAAAAGAGGAAAAAAGGGCUUUAGGGUGUGUAACAUUUACCAAAAGGGGAUAAAAGUCUUGAAGGUGAGCCUCCUAAAGUCAAAGAUUGCCAGAAAAGUAUGUUCACAUUUUGUUUUGUUUUGUUUAUCCUUUUAUUUUAUUAUUAUUAUUAUUAUUAUUUUUUGGGAUUGAAUUUGUCUGUUCCCUUUGUGUGUGUUCAUUAUUAUUUCCCAAUACAGUUGUGUGUUUAAAAUGAUAAUCCUCAUAAGCCAAUUUCGUUCAUAUCAACACAACUACAAAAGCAGAAGUUUAGGUUAAAAGGAGAUCCACACAACAACUUCAAGGCAGUUACAAUAGAAGCCUAAGAGACGCUUUGUGAUCCGAAACACAUAGAUGGAGAGUGCAUGUUUAUAUUCAUUGUUGCUUUCCCUUUAUACCUUGUAUAUGUACGAUGUGUCACGAGUCGUGACCCCUUGCCAUGGAAAAUAUUAAUAACAAUGAAAAGAUAGAAAUUGAUGAAGCUAAAA